GGGAAAGGCUCCUGCUUUUCCGACAAGAAAGGAUGGGACCCAGCUGCCCCUUGAGUGUACGCGGAAAACCAGGCUCCGUGUCAAUACUGGCUGAUCUUCUGCUUCUCUUCCACCACACUUCUAUAUGGAUGUACAUAUGAAGCAUGCUGGCAAUUAUCGCAAUACACAAUUAUCGUUAUUAUUUUUAUUAAUACAAGAUGGA
ensembl:ncRNA K08A8.16 ncRNA